GAUGAACGCUGGCGGCGUGCUUAAUACAUGCAAGUCGAACGGAGGUAUGUAGCAAUAUAUAUCUUAGUGGCGAACGGGUGAGUAACGCGUUGGUGACCUACCCCAGAGAGGGGGAUAACAGCUCGAAAGGGCUGCUAAUACCCCAUGAGAUCAUGGUAGUUAGAGAGCCAUGAUGAAAGGUGCAAACCGCUCUGGGAGGGGCCUGCGUCCCAUCAGCUAGUUGGUAGGGUAAAGGCCUACCAAGGCGACGACGGGUAGGGGGCCUGAGAGGGUGAUCCCCCACACUGGCACUGAAACACGGGCCAGACACCUACGGGUGGCAGCAGUAGGGAAUAUUGCACAAUGGGCGCAAGCCUGAUGCAGCAACGCCGCGUGCGCGAUGAAGGCCUUCGGGUCGUAAAGCGCUUUUCGGGGAGAUGAGGAAGGACAGUAUCCUCGGAAGAAGGAUCGGCUAACUACGUGCCAGCAGCCGCGGUAACAC
rnacentral:rRNA from 1 species